UCAUAACUAUAUGUAUAUUUAUAUAUAUAACUACGUGUGCGUGUGUGUGUGUGUACACAUAGGAUAUUUUAUUUGGUAAUAAACUUACUGUGUUGGGAAAAAGUGAGAUAAGAUGUAAAAUUUCAGCUAUGAGAUAUUGUUCAUCACUGUAACAAACUCUCCCAUUUUCGGGAAACUAUCUAAACAUACUAAAAAGGUGAAAUAAUUCAUUGAAGUUGACACACAAACAUGAAAAGAAAAUAAGCUGUAAAGAAUGUACUACUCUGCACAAGGACACCUUCUAUAACAUUAAAAUUAAAUAAGCAAUUUGAUGUUGGAGAUAAGUCUUAUUACAUGCAGGUGUUGCAGAAACUCUAUGUGAAAGAAUGAGAAAUAGUUUAUUAAUUAUAAACAGAAAAAGAAAGGAAUGGUUUUGUUUUCUUUUUCCUUGGGAAGGAAGGGGAAAGAUUAGGCAGCUCUCCCCUGAAAGAGAGGGUGGUUCGAAGGGAGGCGGAAUGAUAAGACACAUCGAGAAGUCACUCACUGGUCUUGGGAUGAAAAGAUGUGUCAAAGAAUUGCUUGCUGGAGAUCAAUAGUACCAAAGGUGAAGGAAGAGCAGAUUGGCAUAAUUAAUUCCAAAAGGAAGAAAAGACAAGGAAACCACUGUCAUAUAAGAAACUUAUAGAAAUUUCUGAUUAAUUUUCAACUAUUUCAGACUGAACAACCAUAUCAGUUAGUGUGUGUCUGACUUCAAAAGUGACAGACUUUAUUUUGUGAUAUAUUACAAGGCAUUUAUCCUCCUAUGAUGUUCUAUACAUGCUGAACUUGUAACACUCUCUCUCUUUACCUUCUUCAAUAAAUCUUUGAUUUGUUUAAAGUUGUUUUUGAGUCAGUCAGUCAGAAAAAUCCAUUAUUCUCCUAUUCUUACUCAUAAGCUCAUAAAUAUUUAAGGCUAAGACUUAUCAUUUUGUCUGCCGGUCCUGCACACUUCACACUGAUGUCUAGUGGGAUAGAAGUAAUUUGGAUCAUAGAAGUUAAAUGGACCAAAAAGGAGUAAAGAUAAAAUUUGUGGCAAGUAAUACUCCAAAAUAGCUAACAGUGGCUAUCUUGGAGUAUUAUUAUUUGCUACAAAUUCUGUACAUCUACUCACUCAGGAACAGCUCAGAGAUUUGCUUUCUGCUUUCAUUAGUUUAAUUCUAUGUUUUGGUGGUGAAUUGUCUGAAUGUAUCACUGUUUUUGAUACAAAGAAAUUGCCACAUUGGCAUCUUGGACAGAUUGCCAAUGUUUAGGAAUAACCAAGUGCAAACUUUAGGCAUUGCAAGGGAAUACACAUGGCAGGAUUUCAAAAUGAAAGACAUAAAAGACUACAAAUCAUUUAAGACUCAAAUGAUGAAAUGAUUUGCUAAGAUUCCUUAUGUAGUUAGAUUAUAGCACUUUCAUACAUGCUUACAACAAAGGAGUGAGGAUGUACAAACAUACAUAGUUAAAUUACAAUCUCUGGCAACCGAAACUACAGUAGAAGUAGCAAGCACUAUGAUAGAAGAUAAUAGCAGAUAUGAUAGAAGUAAAGGAGGAAAAGCAGUAGUCAACAGUGUCAGAAAAUAAACUGGACAAGUGACUGAGUUCAGUUUCUUAAUGGGAUCUGUGAGAAAAUUAAAAGAAAUGUAAUUGCUCAUGAUCCUAAAACUUUUGAGGAAAGCAC
rnacentral:lncRNA from 1 species